rnacentral:rRNA from 1 species
GUCUACGGCCAUACCACCCUGAACAAGCCUGAUGUCUGAUCUCGGAAGCUAAACGGGGUUGCAUCUGGUUAGUACUUGGAUAGGAGACCACCUAGGAAGACCAAGUGCUGUAGGUA